rnacentral:sRNA from 1 species
AUUUGUAUUCCUACAAGGCUCAGUUAGCUUUACAGUCAAGUACAUUCUCAUUUUACAGCUCGUCCACUGAACACCUCUAAUUUGUCGGGAAUCGACUGCUGUGGAGACCAGCAAUCGAUAAGCCAUCUUCCACCUUCAAGUGCCUCUUUCCGUGAAGUAGUUCACUACUUUGACUAUAUAGUCUUGUGGUUUUUCACUCCGUGUACUACAAUCAGGAUGUGCUGCUCUCCUUGCUACUCGUGCAGCUAUUCCUGCACCUCCCCCUGCAAUGGCUGCUGCAGUGGCUGCUGCGGCUGCAACGGCUGCUGUGGCGGCGGCUGUUGCUCGGCUGCGGCCUGCUGCUAUCCCAGCUGUUGUGGCGGUUCCUGUGGACCCUGCUGCUAGAACGGGACUAUCUUCAGAAGGAAAUCUAGGUACUUCAUAUAACGAAUAAGAUUAGAGAUCGUGGAAUCGAUAAACCCUUAAGUUCUUUAUAUCCCAUUUUGGAGAAAACAUAAUGUCAUAAUAAAUUGUAUUUUGUUCUUUUAGAGAAGGUAUUGCA